ACGUCAUGCAUACUGCUCGAAGCACUUGCAAGCCACGCGUGUGGGGGAAGCCGGUCCGAAUCCGGCGCUGACCCGCAACGGUAGGUCGAUUCUCGGUAGUCACCGAGCGUCGGCAAGCCCGAUUACCCACCGCGCGGUGUGCGACAUC
rfam:Rhodococcus erythropolis PR4 DNA, complete genome.